UACGUAGGCAGCAAGCGUUGUUCGGAGUUACUGGGCGUAAAGGGUGUGUAGGCGGUUUUUUCAGUUUGUUGUGAAAUCUCCCGGCUCAACUGGGAGGGUGCGCCGAAUACUGAAAGACUAGAGUGCGGGAGAGGAAAGUGGAAUUCCUGGUGUAGCGGUGAAAUGCGUAGAUAUCAGGAGGAACACCGGUGGUGUAGACGGCUUUCUGGACCGUAACUGACGCUGAGACACGAAAGCGUGGGUAGCAAACAGG
rnacentral:rRNA from 1 species